UACGUAGGGUCCGAGCGUUGUCCGGAAUUAUUGGGCGUAAAGGGCUCGUAGGCGGUCUGUUGCGUCGGGAGUGAAAACUUACAGCUUAACUGUGAGCGUGCUUCCGAUACGGGCAGACUUGAGGUAUUCAGGGGAGAACGGAAUUCCUGGUGUAGCGGUGAAAUGCGCAGAUAUUAGGAAGAACACCGGUGGCGAAGGCGGCUCUCUGGAACGGUACUGACGCUGAGACGCGAAAGCGUGGGGAGCGAACAGG
rnacentral:rRNA from 1 species